CCUACGGGUGGCAGCAGUGGGGAAUAUUGGGCAAUGGAGGCAACUCUGACCCAGCAACGCCGCGUGAAUGAUGAAGGUCUUCGGAUUGUAAAGUUCUGUGAUGGGGGAUGAACACAAUGACGGUACCCCAAUAGCAAGCCACGGCUAACUACGUGCCAGCAGCCGCGGUAAUACGUAGGUGGCAAGCGUUAUCCGGAAUGACUGGGCGUAAAGGGUGCGUAGGUGGUUUAGUAAGUUGGCGGUGUAAUUCCGUGGCUCAACCUCGGCGCUACCGCCAAAACUAUUAGACUAGAGUGAAGGAGGGGUAAGUGGAAAUCCUAGGGGAGCGGUGGAAAGCGGAGAUAUUAGGAGGAACAGUAGGGGCGAAGGCGAAUUAAUGGAAUGGAACUGACACCGAGGCACGAAAGGGUGGGGAGCAAACAGGAUUAGAUACCCCAGUAGUC
rnacentral:rRNA from 1 species